UACGUAGGGUGCAAGCGUUUGUCCGGAAUUAUUGGGCGUAAAGAGCUCGUAGGCGGUUUGUCGCGUCUGCCGUGAAAGUCCGGGGCUCAACUCCGGAUCUGCGGUGGGUACGGGCAGACUAGAGUGAUGUAGGGGGAGACUGGAAUUCCUGGUGUAGCGGUGAAAUGCGCAGAUAUCAGGAGGAACACCGAUGGCGAAGGCAGGUCUCUGGGCAUUAACUGACGCUGAGGAGCGAAAGCAUGGGGAGCGAACAGG
rnacentral:rRNA from 1 species